CCAAUAGUGUAUAUUAAAGUUGUUGCAGUUAAAAAGCUCGUAGUUGAAUUUCGGGAUUGACACAUCGGUCGUGCCUUAAGGGGUAUGAACUGGUGUAGUCAAUUUCUCACCUUCUGGAGAACCGCGAUGCCCUUAAUUGGGUGUCGCGGGGAACCAGGACCUUUACUUUGAAAAAAUUAGAGUGUUUAAAGCAGGCAUUUUGCUUGAAUACAUUAGCAUGGAAUAAUAAAAUAGGACGGCAUGAUUCUAUUUUGUUGGUUUCUAGGAUCAACGUAAUGAUUAAUAGGGAUAGUUGGGGGCAUUAGUAGUCAAUUGUCAGAGGUGAAAUUCUUGGAUUUAUUGAAGACUAACUACUGCGAAAGCAUUUGCCAAGGAUGUUUUCAUUAAUCAAGAACGAAAGUUAGGGGAUCGAAGACGAUCAGAUACCGUCGUAGUCUUAACCAUAAACUAUGCCGACUAGGAAUCAGACGAUGUUAAUUUUUUAAUGACUCGUUUGGCACCUUAC
rnacentral:rRNA from 1 species